rnacentral:misc_RNA from 1 species
GAUGAAGAACGUAGCGAAAUGCGAUAAGUAAUGUGAAUUGCAGAAUUCAGUGAAUCAUCGAAUCUUUGAACGCAUCUUGCGCUCCUUGGUAUUCUGAGGAGCAUGCCUGUUUGAGUGUCAUUAAAUUCUCAACUACACUGACUUUGAAUUGGUGUGGCUUGGAUUUGGGGGGAAAAUUGUUGUGGCUUUUUGUAUAGUCUGCUCCCCUGAAAUUGAUUAGCGGUACCUUUGUGGAACUGUCUACAGGUGUGAUAAUUAUCUACAUCUUAGACAUCUGCUGGAAUGCUGCUUUCUAAACCUUACUUGUAUUGACAAUCUUGACCUCAAAUCAGGUAGGACUACCCGCUGAACUUAAGCAUAUCAAUAAGCGGAGGA